rnacentral:rRNA from 1 species
CGCUUUCACUCCUACGGGAGGCAGCAGUGGGGAAUAUUGCACAAUGGGGGAAACCCUGAUGCAGCCAUGCCGCGUGUGUGAAGAAGGCCUUCGGGUUUGUAAAGCACUUUCAGUAGGGAGGAAGGGUAGUGUAGUUAACACCUGCAUUAUUUGACGUUACCUACAGAAGAAGCACCGGCUAACUCCGUGCCAGCAGCCGCGGUAAUACGGAGGGUGCGAGCGUUAAUCGGAAUUACUGGGCGUAAAAGCGCAUGCAGGCGGCCUGUUAAGUCAGAUGUGAAAAGCCCCGGGGCUUAACCUCGGAAUUGCAUUUGAAACUGGCAGGCUAGAGUCUUGUAGAGGGGGUAGAAUUUCAGGUGUAGCGGUGAAAUGCGUAGAGAUCUGAAGGAAUACCAGUGGCGAAGGCGGCCCCCUGGACAAAGACUGACGCUCAGAUGCGAAAGCGUGGGGAGCAAACAGGAUUAGAUACCCUGGUAG